AAAAUAAAAAAUACCUUUAUAAUUGGUCAGUAACCUGUUGUCAGAUACUUUAAAACUAUAAAAAUAUUUAAUUUGUCAACAAACAUGAACCUCUAAUUUUAGCAUUCAGCAGUGAUAUUUGUCCCUAUCAAUUUUUAUUGUUUUGUUGUUGUUGUUUGCAGAUCGUUGGCUUUCUAUCAUUUGAUAAAGUUAAUUCAUCUAUCAAGGUGGAAGGUGGAAGCUAAGUGGCCUGGCCCAUGUAACAAAUCUAAGCCUAAAUCAUCCAUCCAUUGUGAUGUUUGCUGAAUUUAUCAACAUGCAAGAUUUCAGAAUUAACCUCCUAAUCAGCCAACCAAAGCCUGG
rnacentral:lncRNA from 12 species